rnacentral:rRNA from 1 species
AGUGAACGCUGGCGGCAUGCCUUACACAUGCAAGUCGAACGGCAGCGCGGGGCAACCUGGCGGCGAGUGGCGAACGGGUGAGUAAUAUAUCGGAACAUACCCUAGAGUGGGGGAUAACGUAGCGAAAGUUACGCUAAUACCGCAUACGCACUAAGGUGGAAAGUGGGGGAUUCGCAAGAACCUCAUGCUCAUGGAGUGGCCGAUAUCUGAUUAGCUAGUUGGUGAGGUAAAGGCUCACCAAGGCAACGAUCAGUAGCUGGUUUGAGAGAACGACCAGCCACACUGGAACUGAGACACGGUCCAGACUCCUACGGGAGGCAGCAGUGGGGAAUUUUGGACAAUGGGGGCAACCCUGAUCCAGCAAUGCCGCGUGAGUGAAGAAGGCCU